AGGCCACGAACGCUGUGAUUACGUUCACGCCGCCGGUCCAACAGCCGCGAGAAUUUCGUUUAUUCCUCUGCCGCCAUUUGAUAAAGGCCGGUCUUACAUAGUGGUUGAAUGACAAGAAACUCAAAAAUUGUAUUUAUUACUGCAUUGACAAAAUCAAGAGUGAUAAAGGGAUAUCAUUACAAGAUGGCCAGGGAUUUCUCGAUCGACAGGUUAAAAGGAAGAAUGUACACAUAUACAAGGUGGGGAGUUGCGUUGCGCAGAACGUCCUCUGUUCGAGAAAGAGAAUCUGACUCGUGAUAGAUAUGCGUUUGUGUGCGCUCGCACGCGCACGAUAGUGUCAGAUACACAGAAUUGUGUAAAGAAAAAGGUGAACAUGAGAAGAGAGGGAGUAUUGGAAAUGGGACGGGAAUUAGAUGACGCCGUGGCAGCAGCCACCUAGCCACCCAUUUCAGUGACAGCGACAGCGACGGCAAUUCUUUA